rnacentral:misc_RNA from 1 species
AUACAUUAUCAUAAAACUGUGGCCCUCCUAAAUUGGAUUAUCAUCAAGCAAACAAUCAUCUGUGUGGCAUCCAAUGUUGCUAUGGUGUCUUAAAUAGAAAAUACAUGCAAAUAUCUGCUCUUGCAUAUGUGCUCUACUAUAAAAGUUGAGAAUAAAGUAAGUUAAUAUUCUAAAGGGAAAUACCAACUAAAUAAACAACAUAAAAAAAAAUUAAAAAGAAAUAAGGCGUAGAUCAAUGCUACCAUUGAGGAACGUGAAUUAGCAGUCUAAUAACUAACAAGCAAAUAUUGAAAAUUCAGUAUCUGUACACAUUCAACUUCUGAUAGUAUCAAUAAAGCAAGUUCAUCUAUCUUGCCUUACAUCAUCAAGUAAUCAACCUAAAAGAAAGAAAUUCUUCCCCUAAAAGCUUAUAAAAACUCUAGUAAAAAACUAGGCACCCUCUAUUAUCUCUUUGUUUUCUCUUAUCAGGAUCAGUUAAUCAUCAACCCAGUAAAUCCCAUAAGCUGAACACCUAACUAGAACUCGGAAUCGCUUAAGUAACAAAUCAUAACAAAAAAUAAAAAUCAAAACUUUAACUCCAAAACAAUCAAACAGAUCAAUCUCAGAUCCAAAACAAAACCACCAAGGAAAAAACUCCACAACUACCAUAUCGAAAUCCACACCUUUCAAAAAGGUAAAACGCAGAAGAUAAAUAGAGCAUCAACAGUUCCACCAACAACAA